rnacentral:rRNA from 1 species
CGCGCCGACAAUGUAGCGGGGCUCAAGCACACCACCGAAGACGCGGCAGCGGCCUUUGCGGCCGUUGGGUAGGAGAGCGUCCCGCGUGGGGCGAAGCGGCCGGGGAACCGUGCCGUGGACCGCGCGGGAGUGAGAAUGCAGACAUGAGUAGCGAGAGACGGGUGAGGAUCCCGUCCGCUGGAUGACCAAGGGUUCCGGGGCCACGUUCGUCGUCCCCGGGUGAGUCGGGUCCUAAGGCGAGGCCGACAGGCGUAGUCGAAUGGAUGAACGGGUGGAUAUUCCCGUACCGGCGGCGUACCGUAAGAGCCGAACGGAUGAGUACUAACCUCCGGUCGCGUGGCGUCGUUCCCUUCGGGGUUCGGGGUCCGCGGUCGUUGGGAGCGUAGUCCUGGUAGGCUAGCGCACAGGGGUGACACGGAAUGGGAGCCGGCCGCGGAGGUGGUUUUCCGUGGUCAAGCACGCAGCCCGUCCCAUAGGCAAAUCCGUGGGACGCAUAGGGUGAGGUGUGAUGAUGGGCGUCCUUUGGACGCGAUAUCCGGUGGUCCAGGCCGUCGAGAAAAGCCUCGGCGCGAGGGGCGUCGCCGCCCGUACCCCAAACCGACACUGGUGGUCAGGUAGAGAAUACCAAGGCGAUCGAGCGAAUCCUGGUCAAGGAACUCGGCAAAUCACUCCCGUGCCUUCGGUAUAAGGGAGACCCCCGGGCGUGAAGAGGCUUGCCCUCGGAGCGUUGGGGGGUGGCACAGACCAGGGGGUAGCGACUGUUUACCAAAAACACAGGUGCAUGCGAAGGCGCAAGCCGCUGUAUAUGCACUGACGCCUGCCCGGUGCCGGAAGGUUAAGAGGAUCCGUCAGCCCCUUUUGGGGUGAAGCGGUGAAUUCAAGCCCCGGUAAACGGCGG